rnacentral:SRP_RNA from 1 species
CGGCGGCAACAUGGCCGGGGGGCUUGCCGUCCCCUGUAACUUGAAACCGGCAACAUGCAAGGGCCUGUAACCCGAGGGGCGUGGUUGACACUCUACGUAGGCCUGUCUCCUUAGGAAUGAGGGCCAGCCCAUCGGGUGGGCGUAGGCCCAUACUACCUUCCGUAGGGAAGGUAAGAGGGUUUAAUCAUCGAAUCCGCCAGGCCCGGGAGGGAGCAACGGUAAGGUGAGCAACCCACGCUGAUGGUAUACUGGCCGAACUGAUGGGGACAGAGACCGCGUAGGGUUGUCGGCUGCCACCCAAGGGGGUUGCCGCCG